AGCAGGCGCAUCCCGGGCGGCGAAGGGACAGCGCCACGGCACCACUUCGUCUCUCCUAGGUCUUCUCGAUUUCCAGCACCGCUUCUCCUCGAGCACAUCUCCUUCUUCCUCAUGUGUUUGGCUGCGGCUAGAUCGCGAGUUUGGCUGCGGCUAGAUCGCGAACCUCGGAGCCUCAUGUCAGAGAGAGAUGGUGCGGCGGCAUGGGUUCUAGGGCCGCGACAACCGAGAACUCGGACAUAAGCAUCGAGCGGAGGACGCCGCCGACGGCCGUGGCGUGGGUGGGGUCCUCCUUCGUGCUGGUUUGGCCGACGCGCGACCUCGGAAGGGCCUGGGGUGGAGGCUACGUGGUUGGCAUGGAGGCGGGAUGGCGAGCAGGGAGAGGCAAGGAUGGAGGCGCUCGCGUCCACCACAGGCGACCAUCGGCGUCAGUGGCAAAAGGGUUAGUAACCAACUGUCAAGGCUCUGCCUUUUCCUCUCCUCUCUUUUACUUCUUAAGCUGUUCUGUCUCUCUUCUCUCAGCAGCGGACGGGAGGAUGCGGAGCUUUCACAGAACGGGACCAAGGGCGCGGCCAAACCGCCGCCAUGGCCACGCCUACGUCAGCUCUUUCUCUCUCUCAGCCGACGGCAGCAACGCAUCAAGACUUUGACCUCCGUACGCAUCAGGACUUCGACCUCCGUACGGUAGCGGUGGCAGUCAUUUGAUGGGUUCUGCUUCAGCUUGCCAGCGAGGGCACCAUCAGAAUUGAAGGCCUUCUCAAUUCACUGUGACUACUCGGAAAGCCAACUCCCAGAUUUUGUUCCGGUAGCUAGCAGCUUAUGUCUUGCAUCAGGUUGGACUUUGGACCUCCGGUACUGCAGACGGUGAGACAAAGAUCCGAGCUGCCGAGGUUGGUCUGGCUGCGGUGUUCAUGGUUGCCGCUCUACUGCGACUAGGCAUUGUGGAUGCAGCUAUACACACAUACAACAUGGAGCAAAAGGGUCACCGUCAUUGGGGUGCCGAAAUCUUUGAUUUAGGGCAGUUUGAUUCUUUAUGCAGGCAUGGUCUGUUCAGCCCUCAUGAAGGUUAGCUUUUCUUUGAAUUUUUUUCUCAAAUAUGUACUAAUAGCUAGAUAAAUUAUUUCCGUUUUACUACAACCAAAUUUAAGUGAUCAUCAUUCAUAUUUGGUAUAAGUUGCUGUAUAAAGAGGGCAUGGCCACAUGUGAGGUUCUCUCGGUCUGAUCUGUGACACCAGAGAUGGAGUCAUUGCAGAGCUUCAUACUAAUAAGUUAUAAGUUCUGCAGUUGUUUAAUUCUGAUUGCCUUCUGUUACUGAGUUAGGUUAAUCCCUAUCAGCAUAUUAUUGAUUUGGCAUGACAUGUCUUCCUGAUCUGCAGGUAUUCUUCAAAAUUUAUUUAUAUGCUUCUUUUCUUCCAGAUUUAUUGACAUGUUCCGUACCUUCGCUACUGUCAACUUUGCUGCCGACGCUUCUAGGCAUGACAGUUGCAUCUUUUUCUUAUCACGCUUUUCACAGGCCUUACCAAAUUGGUGUCUGCAUCCUUUGAUUUAGGUUAUCUUUAUGUGGAAAUCACAUCAACAAAAACAUCAGUGCAUAUUGUGUUUAGCUCAAAGUUUUAGGUUCCUCUUAUUGCAAGUUAUCGGUAGAUCAAUGUCUGUAAUCUAGGGACUGUUGGAUUUAGGGAAAUACCUCGGUUUUCUUGAUUCUUUUAUGCAAUGAAAAGACAUUCUUCUCUCCCUGAUUGUCGCUGCCCUGCUCGAGCUCUUCCCUCUCUGAUCCCCUUUUCUCGGAGGGUGAUUGUCUGCGAACAAAAAUCAGGAGGGUGCUGGUGGUGCAAAUUCCAAUCAGCACAGAUGUGGUGUGAUCGUCCAACGAGAACACGAGCUGAGAUGGUGUUCUCAAGGUAUUCACCGCGGUUUUUGUGGUACAGUUUUUUUAAUGAAAUGCUUGCAAAGUAGUUGCGACUUUCUUUUACUAAUAGUUUUUAGAUACCUACAAGGAAAUUUGUGUUCGAGCAGUUUAUUUUGGAGAAUGAUAUGAUUAAAGUAAAUACUAAAUACUACACAUCAUAUCUCUUUUCAUCUAUUCCAGGAGCAUAAAUAUCUUUCGGAAAUGUACAUUGAUAGGACAAAUAAGUUAAGCAGUAUGAGAUACUUCUUAUUUGUUCGAAAAAAAGAGAUGUUUCUUAUUUUUUCUACUUUUUGUGGUCUCCUGAUUUGUUUCGAUUCUUUUCAUCUUUUGUAUUUCUUUCAGCUUUGCAUGUGAACUGUUCAAUUGUUCCUGGACCUUUCUCUUUAAUCGAUGGGCAGGGUUCAUCUGUUGGUUGGCCUUUGAUGGGUAAUAAUCCUCCACAGUAUCUGCAAAGUCAGAGCUCUUGGGUUCACUCUGAAAAUUUUACCGCUACAGAUGUAGACGAAUGCUGUUGUGGGGCAAGCAUUAUCUCCAUACGGUGCACUUGAAUAUAUUGAUCAAGAAACAAGGGCAAUGGACGAUCCAUCUGAUUUUACAUGCAUUGUGCGUUCGAAACAUUAUACACUAUACUAAUAAUACCAAUCCCAGGUAAGAUUGGUAUUAGAGUUCCUGACACUAGCUUAUUAGAAUGCUCAUCUGUAUCACAUAUACAACUACUUCUUUGUUCCUCAAUAAGUAUACUUUUUUUUGUUGGAUAAGGCUGAAUAAGCAUAUGUGUUCUUCAUCCUUUUUUGGAUAUGCUUUUCAGUUUGGAGUUGGUAAUUAAGAAGUUAGCAGUUGAUUAAAUUAAUAACCAGGAAGUUGCCCUCUGCUUUACAGAUAAAAUCACUAUUUAUAAUGGUGCAGAUCUACUUCAAGUGUACACUAUUCUAGAGCAAGGAAAGUGUGCUGGAUGGUUCACCUUUGUAUGGAUAGAGAUACACAAAGAAGUUGUUUUUGAUAUGUUUAUGUCUUCUAAUACAGACAAUAUGUCUCUAAGCUUCCUUAGAGAAAGUUCUUUCUGAGUACGUUAAUCAGACAUUGUGCUUUCGGCAGGUAAUAGUUGCUGCUUGCCAUUGGCUGUGGUUUUGGCACCCCCUUGCGCUGAGAGCGGCAUCGCUCGCUCCUGCUGGGAGCAUUGCGCCAUCUACUGGUUUCUGGGCGUGGCAGAGUGGCGAUAUUUCUCUCAAUCAUGAUGCAGAUAGCGAAUCACCUUAAGCUCACUCAAGAAUUAGAGAUAAGAGAUGGCAACAUGCAAGAUCUUGUGGGGAGUUUGACCAAGAAGCUUCCGGCUGCUCUUUUGACUAUCUAGGCUAAAGAUGAUGCAGCAAGUGUUCUUUUCCUGUAUGAAUUGCUCUUUUGGCAAAGUUGCAAUGCUAUAAAGAAGAAUUUUACUUAUUAUAUUGUCGUAUUUACCUUUUGCCUCAACAAGUGUGACCAGCACCACGCGGCGUACAAAAGAUGAAAAAGAUGAGGAAAUAUCUGAAAUUAGAAACAUAGUAUAUCAAGAGAUAGGUUUCUGUUUGUGACAACAUGAACAUCCUGUUUUUCUACUUCAGGUACAUGUACAUUCUAUGACCUCAAGUGUAAGAUACACAUAUGUUACUUUUAAUUAUUUGCCUUCUCUCUGUUCUAAUAAAUUGUUUUUUUCUAAAACACUUGCACUUCGACCAGCUGAGGCGAUUACCAUUAGUGUACUGUUUGUUCCAAUGCGAAUGUUUUUUCUUGGCACGAGAAGUAUGUAUGUUCUGAUUCUGUGUGGAAUCUAUGGCUUUCUUAAUUAAUCAUCUUCUCUGUAUAUUGAUGCUCUGUCUAUUUUUUACAACACUUGCGAUUUGAUCAGUCGAAGGGCUACUGUUAGUGCUUCACUUAAAUAAUAUGUACCACUUUUGUGUAUGGAAAGGAGUCAGGUACUAGCGGAUAAUGGAGGAAACUAGGGAAGCUAUGGUCAGGAAGUAAGCUUAUGCAUGAGUGGGAGCUCCCAACAAAGCAUGCCCUACGUUUUGGGCAUGCAAUCUGGAAGGAGCACUGAAAAAAGACUGAUAAAGAUGAUAAACCCUGGUGCUUGGGAAAUGGCGUUUCUUUGUGCGAGGUCCACUCUCUGUUGAAAGAAUGAAGUUUGUUGGUCCGUUUUAUGCUCAAGUUUUUCAUGCCCAGAAAGUUUACGUGCCUUGCUCUGAAGUAUUGUACUGUUCUAUCUGUGUUUGCUUAUCUAAUUGCCGUUGCACUGCUCUAUUUUAUGUACUCGAUUUGGAUGGAAAAGCCAUAUAGUCUGAAGCAGUCCAUAA